CCCCUCUCAGGGUUGCACCUGGAGAGUUUCCAGUACUCUACCAGUCUCGACUACAGGAGGAAGAGUCAAGCAGAGGCCUGUCCAUUCCGUUCCUAGCUUGGCCAGGGGCUAGUGAAUGGAAGGCAAUCUGCUACAAGU
rnacentral:snoRNA from 1 species